UAAAAAGUUUUCGUGGUCGAGAAUUUGUUAGGCAAUUCAUUCCCCGGUAGCUCAACGGUAGAGCAGCUCCCUGUCGAAGAUGGCAGCUUUCCGCCAAAAGGCGGAUUGAAAAAUAGGGUAAAUUGUCGGGAAACCCCGAGUGUAAUCGAGGGGUAAUCCGCAGCCAAGCUUCGAUGGAAACAUCGUUGAAGGUUCAGAGACUAUACACCCUACGCCAAAACGUAAAGUCGUUGGUGAUGAGAUAGUCCACCCUCUUAAGUAAUUAGGAG
rnacentral:ncRNA from 1 species